GUGAAUCAAUUGUUUUAAAGAUGGUAUAAUAAAAUCUGCAUGAGACUCAUAUUCUGCCUAACGUGGGCUCCACGGGAAUUUCAGGUUAAUAUCCUGAAUGACAAAUUGGAAAGGCCUAAAUAGACUAAAAUGUGUGUGAUUUUGAGUAUUGUAGUUGUUUUAUUCCUCUGGGACAGAUGGUGAGCUACAGGUUUUCCUGGUUACCGGCUGAAGGAAAUGCUGAUUUGGGGAAAAGAUGAUUAAGGUAUUUACACCUUCCAGAGUUCUAGGGAUCAGAUUUGAUAGAGGGAGACCCCCCCUGAGAACUAGAUUCCAGAGAAUCAAACAAAAAGGUUAUCUUGAUGAUACUAAAAUUUUGUUUUGAGAUUUAUAUAUUACAGAAUAUACAGCCUUGGUGAAUUUCAUCGUCAGACAUGCUGAACUGACCGGCCUGAACUCUUGAUGUCUUGGUUUUUCAUCUGGAUCCAGUCAGGACACAGACAUCAGGGACUAAUACAAUCAUUGGUGUGGCCUUCUUAAGGCCAACUAACUCGCCCAUUUCCCUACCCUUCCCCCUCCCUUCAAAAAUAUCUCAAUGCCCAUAUUCAGCUUGAAGAAGUUAUGAAGAGUCGUCGUUCCAGUUCCCUAAGCUUUGGGGCUGGGGGUGGUUAUUAUAGGUUGUCUUUGAUACUAAAAAUGUUGAAGUACAGGGCUUGGACUCAGGCCUUCUAUUGCUGUUAUUAUAAACAGAUCUGAGAUGCUUAAGCCUGUGAGUUAAGGGCCAAAGAGGAAAUUCAUGGCUCAGAGUUUAUUGUUAGGGGGUUUUCGGUUAUUUUAAUCAGAAAUGGCCGUGAGUAGUUAACAGAGAACAGUCCAGAUUACUUUACAUAGAUAGUUGGUUUUCAAAAAACGUCAGAAGUCCACAGAACGUGACAUUUAAUGUUAUUUAUUCACUUGUUGAGAGAAGUCUGCUAAUGACAGCUUUCCCUGUCUUGGAUUCAAAGAAGAAACUGAGCAUCUUUGAGUUACUUCAGUUGUGGCAAAACAACCACUAGGCAAGAAUUGCCUCAUUCAUCUACAGAUGUAAUACUGUCCAAAGAAAGGACACAAUUACAGGUUAGGACAGCUUGACUCUGCCGAGACAGAGUAGGCUAGUCCUUAAUAUUCCUGUUUCUUUACGUCAGGUGACCCUGGCCAGUAGGCUGAAGACCGAUGCUCCAACAUGCUGAAGGCUUAUUUGGGUUGGAGAUUUACCACAACAGCUGCAGUCUGGUGCUUGGCUAUCUCAGGUGUUCUUCUUGUGGGAUUCACCCAAGUGGCCCCAUGCAAGCAUCAAUGGUCUCAGCUUCACUUCCACCUGAGCCCGUGGCCCUAGGCAAAGGACCGAGAGAACCGGAGGUCUCACCGCUACUAAGACAAGAGAAGUCUGCAAGGGUGACAAGAACUACUAAUGAUGAAAGAUGUCAGCAAGACUACAAGAAGGAAACACUAUCUGAGUCCAGGGGAAACACCACCCCAUGUCUAGCAUGGUAUACUGCUCCUUGGAGCUCCAUAGAAGACUCACAACCAUCUGUGAUGGGAUCCGAUGCCGAUGCCCUCUUCUGGUGUGUCUGAAGACAGCAACGGUGUACUCAUAUACAUAAAAUAGAGAAAUAAAUCUUUUUUUUUUUUUAAAUGCGUGCACUCUGGGUUUUCUUUUCCUGCAUUUAUCCAUUGUGAUGUGACUUGCCAUGCUAUUAGCAUAAGUCAUACAUGUCCUGCUCUGGGAUUUUACAAAGACGAGGUGGAAUCUGGGCUGCAGCCAUGUUCUGGUUAGAGAAAAUAGGAGCCGUUAAACGCUGUUGUUUAAGAAAAACAAAGCUCUUUUAGUUGCUUAGCAACUGGAGUUGGGGAGUGGGCCGAGUGUGUAAGCACUGGGGAAGAGAAAGGCAGGGAAGUAUAUACAAAAUGAAUUUAACGUCCAGAUUUGUCCCAGGUGGGUGAGAAAAGCCCUGGCAUUCAUUGAAUUAGUUUGUCACAUGACAGGAAAAUUUAAUAAAAUACUUUGACAUUCGGCCGUUAUUCACUCUAGGUAUGUCAUUAUAAUUCAAAGGCGACAUAAAGUGUUUAUUUAAUGUAUUGGUUGCAAGGGAAAUGGUUUGGAAACAUCUGGCUUUGGAGAUCGGUCACGCUGUGUGGACGCUACUGCCACCUUGUGGACAGUACUGGGAACCCGUGGACUUUGCACUUUUAAUAUUUUCUCUACAACCAGGACCCCUGUGGUCCCCACACCCAGGCAGCAAGCACACUUAUCCAGUACAGUAAAGGUAGUCUGAACUUUUGAGGAGGGAGAAAGGACUUGAUAGAGGAAGGAGAGGCAGAGAACAGCUCACCAGAAAUUAUUUUAGAAAGAAAUACAAAUGCAAUUCCAGGGUAGAAAGAAAACGAUUCAUAUAUUUACAGUCAUUUCAGAAGUGACCCCUUGCCAGACCAAGUCACUGGUUUGCCUGCAAAGCCCGGCUGUGCUGCAAAGCUCUCCAGGAGGUGGUAGGGGUGUGAUUCAGUUUCCAAUAUUGGAGGUGAGAAGAUGGUGUAGAUCUUGUACAUGUGUCAGGACCUGAGUUCAAACCACCCCCACACUCACUGUGUAGCUGUACGUCCUGUAACUUCAGUGCUGUGCGGGACUUUGGCAGAAGGUUCUCUGGAGCUUGCUGCUGCUAGCCUAGCUCCUGGGUCAGUGAGAAACCCUUUCUUAAGGGAAUGAGGUGGUAAGUUUCUAUGCAGCCUCAGUUGUCUGAAUACACCAUAUGUACACACUUGCAUCCGCACAUGUACACACACAUAUUCAAUGUUGAAUUGACUAAGUUCUUUACUUUUAAUGUCUUAUGAGUCUAAAAAAAAACCAACCAAACAAAAAA